CAGACCUUACCCUUUUUUUUAAUCCCUUUUAUCCUCUGCCUAAUAGAAACCCACACACAAACACAUGAGUUCGCAGGAGCUGCAGUCUAGAGAGAGGGGGAGGAGAGGAGAGUGAGAGAGACAAAGCAUAAAGGCACUGCGGAGAAGCUGGACGCCGUGAAGAAAUCUGUAGCCUGAGAGAGAGAGAGAGAGAGAGAGUGAGGAAGAAGGGAGGGUGAUUCUCUGAUCUGGAGCUCGUUGGGGGGAAAGGAGUUGGGAGAAUCUCAUGGGAGCUUUGAAGAAAUGGGGAAAAGAAGCUCCUUGAUCCGUUCUUGAGCCGGAAAAAGUGAUCUUUCGGGUCGUGUGGCUGGAGAAAUUUGGAUCUUGAGGCUAACGGAGGACAACGCCUCGAUUCUUCCGGCGCUCCGUUGCUGCAUUGCCUUCUUGUCCCCAGAUCCGAGCUGCCGUGCGAGGAAAAGCCGGAUCUUUUGCCUGCGUUCUUCCCAAAUCCGCCCAAAUUUUGAGCUCUUGAGCUGUUUCAUGGUAGCCCCGUGCUAGCUUCAAAUCUUUUUCAGAAAGAACAUUUGUUUAGUUGGGGGUUAGAUAUGGCAGGGAUUCGGACUACUUUAUGAGCUGUCUCCUGCCAUUUUUUUUAGAGUAGAUUCGUCAGUAAUGGCGGAUCUUGCCAUGGAGUAGUAGCAGGGGUUUCCUUCGGUGAUAGCGAAGCGUACUAGCCAUAAGCGGCGAUGUCUCUGAAGAGCAUUGUGCGGGAACUGAGGGAGAUGAGGGAUGGCAUCGGCAGCAUGUCGAGGCGAGC
rnacentral:lncRNA from 1 species